UACGAAGGGGGCUAGCGUUGUUCGGAUUUACUGGGCGUAAAGCGCACGUAGGCGGAUUGUUAAGUGAGGGGUGAAAUCCCAGGGCUCAACCCUGGAACUGCCUUUCAUACUGGCAAUCUCGAGUCCGGAAGAGGUGAGUGGAACUCCGAGUGUAGAGGUGAAAUUCGUAGAUAUUCGGAAGAACACCAGUGGCGAAGGCGGCUCACUGGACCGGUAUUGACGCUGAGGUGCGAAAGCGUGGGGAGCAAACAGG
rnacentral:rRNA from 1 species